UACGUAGGUGGCGAGCGUUGUCCGGAUUUACUGGGCGUAAAGGGCGUGCAGGCGGUUUGUUAAGUGCAGAGUGAAAGCUCCCGGCUCAACUGGGAGAGGUCUUUGCAUACUGGCAAACUCGAGGGAGGCAGAGGAAAGUGGAAUUCCCGGUGUAGUGGUGAUAUGCGUAGAUAUCGGGAGGAACACCUGUGGCGAAGGCGGCUUUCUGGGCCUUACCUGACGCUGAGACGCGAAAGCGUGAGGAGCGAACCGG
rnacentral:rRNA from 1 species